rnacentral:rRNA from 2 species
AGCAGUGGCGCGUGCUAUACAUGCAAGUCAGAACGAAACUUUCUUACACCAGAAUGCUUGCAUUCACCGUAAGAAGUUGAGUGGCGGACGGGUGAGUAACACGUGGGUAACCUGCCUAAAAGAAGGGGAUAACACUUGGAAACAGGUGCUAAUACCGUAUAUCUCUAAGGAUCGCAUGAUCCUUAGAUGAAAGAUGGUUCUGCUAUCGCUUUUAGAUGGACCCGCGGCGUAUUAACUAGUUGGUGGGGUAACGGCCUACCAAGGUGAUGAUACGUAGCCGAACUGAGAGGUUGAUCGGGCACAUUGGGAGUGAGACACGGCCCAAACUCCUACGGGAGGCAGCAGGAGGGAAUCUUCCACAAUGGACGCAAGUCUGAUGGAGCAACGCCCCGUGAUUGAGUGAGUGAAGAAGGUCUUCGGAUCGUAAAACUCUGUUGUUAGAGAAGAACACGAGUGAGAGUAACUGUUCAUUCGAUGACGGUAUCUAACCAGCAAGUCACGGCUAACUACGUGCCAGCAGCCGCGGUAAUACGUAGGUGGCAAGCGUUGUCCGGAUUUAUUGGGCGUAAAGGGAACGCAGGCGGUCUUUUAAGUCUGAUGUGAAAGCCUUCGGCUUAACCGGAGUAGUGCAUUGGAAACUGGAAGACUUGAGUGCAGAAGAGGAGAGUGGAACUCCAUGUGUAGCGGUGAAAUGCGUAGAUAUAUGGAAGAACACCAGUGGCGAAAGCGGCUCUCUGGUCUGUAACUGACGCUGAGGUUCGAAAGCGUGGGUAGCAAACAGGAUUAGAUACCCUGGUAGUCCACGCCGUAAACGAUGAAUGCUAGGUGUUGGAGGGUUUCCGCCCUUCAGUGCCGCAGCUAACGCAAUAAGCAUUCCGCCUGGGGAGUACGACCGCAAGGUUGAAACUCAAAGGAAUUGACGGGGGCCCGCACAAGCGGUGGAGCAUGUGGUUUAAUUUGAAGCAACGCGAAGAACCUUACCAGGUCUUGACAUCCUUUGACCACCUAAGAGAUUAGGUUUUCCCUUCGGGGACAAAGUGACAGGUGGUGCAUGGCUGUCGUCAGCUCGUGUCGUGAGAUGUUGGGUUAAGUCCCGCAACGAGCGCAACCCUUGUUGUCAGUUGCCAGCAUUAAGUUGGGCACUCUGGCGAGACUGCCGGUGACAAACCGGAGGAAGGUGGGGACGACGUCAAGUCAUCAUGCCCCUUAUGACCUGGGCUACACACGCGCUCCAAUGGACGGUACAACGAGUCGCAAGACCGCGAGGUUUAGCUAAUCUCUUAAAGCCGUUCUCAGUUCGGAUUGUAGGCUGCAACUCGCCUACAUGAAGUCGGAAUCGCUAGUAAUCGCGAAUCAGCAUGUCGCGGUGAAUACGUUCCCGGGCCUUGUACACACCGCCCGUCACACCAUGAGAGUUUGUAACACCCAAAGCCGGUGGGGUAACCGCAAGGAGCCAGCCGUCUAAGGUGGGACAGAUGAUUGGGGUGAAGUCGUAACAAGAGCCGUAGGAGAACCUGCGG